UACGUAGGCAGCAAGCGUUGUUCGGAUUUACUGGGCGUAAAGGGCGCGUAGGCGGCCACCGCAAGUCGACUGUGAAAUCUCCGGGCUUAACCCGGAACGGUCAGCCGAUACUGCGGGGCUAGAGUGCAGAAGGGGCAACUGGAAUUCUCGGUGUAGCGGUGAAAUGCGUAGAUAUCGAGAGGAACACCUGCGGCGAAGGCGGGUUGCUGGGCUGACACUGACGCUGAGGCGCGAAAGCUAGGGGAGCGAACGGG
rnacentral:rRNA from 1 species